rnacentral:rRNA from 1 species
UAAUACGAAGGGGGCUAGCGUUGCUCGGAAUUACUGGGCGUAAAGCGCACGUAGGCGGCGAUUCAAGUUAGAUGUGAAAGGCCUGGGCUUAACCCGGGAACUGCAUUUGAUACUGAAUUGCUAGAGUCCAAGAGAGGGUAGUGGAAUUCCCAGUGUAGAGGUGAAAUUCGUAGAUAUUGGGAAGAACACCAGUGGCGAAGGCGGCUACCUGGCUUGGUACUGACGCUCAGGUGCGAAAGCGUGGGGAGCGAACAGG